UUACAGGCUUUUAAAUGCGCUUUAUGUAUAACUAAUUUCAGUUCGAGCUUUGUAAUGCGUAAUUACUACAGUACGUACGAUCGGAUGUCGCGAAUGGAGCGUUUUUGAUGACAGCUUGUUCAUUCUUGUUGAAUGGAUUGCAAUAAUAACAUGUACAUAGCCUAUAAACAUUUAACUAAAUAAAUAGUCAAUAAUUCGUUAAAAAAUAUACAUAUAUUUAAUUUUUCAUUAUCUUCGAUGUGUUGUGUGUAUGCAAAUAUAUUUGUUAGCUAAUGCUCGUAUGGGUAAUUUACAGGAGAUCGGUGACUUACAUCGUGAAAAUCUAGAUACAAGACGUUAAACUUUCAUUGGUAGAUUCCAUAUUGUCAUGGUUAAAUAUUUUUAUUUCACAAAACAUACCCCCUUUGGCACUUGAACUAUUUCUUAUGUCUAUAAGCUAAAUAAAAGCCAGACUUUAAUUUUGCUUUUCUGUGUCGCGCAGUGACGUCACUCACUACGGAUGCUCCGCGGACUGUUUAUCAGUCCGAGGAAAUUAACUAGGCGAGUAUUUUUCAGUGAUUUAGGUGCAUAAAUCGAUAGAAAACAUUUUAACGUGGUUUACUGUUGUUUUAUUUAUUUGUUUAUUUAUUUACAGAUGUGUUCAAGCAAGAUAGCAAUUUUACGACGCCGUCUUGUGUUAGUAAUGUUAAAUGAACGUGGAAGUAAUUGCUGUAUGUGCAGUUCUCAUUAUUGUUUCUUUUUUUUAGCAGCUCGGACAUUUUGAUAUAUAAAAGUAAAGGACAUUGACACAUUAGAAGCAGAUAUAUUUACUUUGCACUACAUUUUCUAAAACUUUUUAUGUCUUGAAUUUAUUCCAUGUCUUUUUGAAAGUUCAUUCAACUCAUUUUCUAUAGAAUGUCAGUUUUCAACAGCAGGCUGUCAAGCUUGAAAAAAGACUAUAUACUAUAAAAGUAGUCCAUAUGAGUCAUCUUAUUAAAUUAAGAAACAGUCCAAAUUUUUAAACGGUUUUUCUAUUACAAUCUCAGACUGCAAUCAAUUCUUUAGACUGGUGCACCGUGUUCGUUUACACAAGAGAACCUAUGGCAUGGUGCAUAAGUAUGGACUUUUAACCUAUUAGGCCUUGUUCCCAACUGGUUUAAAAUGCAUUUUCAGUGAUCCAAUAACAAGUGGACUCCUAGUGAGUAUGAGUCUUUCCCUAACCAGUGCUUCUGAGGAUCCUCGUCAGCAUUAAGGUCUUUAAUAAAACCAUCUAUUAAGUCUGCAUGGAAACAUCAUUUAGGUUUCCGCCUUCCAUGGUCAAAACACGAAAAUACUAUUAAAAUAUUUUAAGAAGAAAAAAACAACAACUUUGGAAUGUGGAAUAUUAAAAGUCUAGCUGACUUUCUUUUCAGUACUAUACAGUGACAAUCUGUGGUUUCUGAGUGGUUUACAUCAAGGGUAGUUUAGCAUUAUGUGAUUAAGUUACCACAAAACAUAAUGCCUAAAGAUAUUUCUUUUGUAUUUCAUGUAUGAAAUGAAAUUGAAUGAGCCCCGUACCGACUCAUUUUCAGCCAUUCCUCUUUUGUUAAUUGGAAUGUGUGCAAAGGACUGUGGCUGAUUGGAAGACGUGAAGGAUACACUUGAUGCAUCCUUCAAAAUUCAUCAAAUAAAGGACAUGAAACGUAGGCUGCCUUCCAAGUAUCCUUCAAAUUGAGACAGACUUCAGUGGCACUUGAUGACAUGGCAGCUGAAGUAUACCGCCUUACUAGGAUGCAGUAUUUCAAGGAGAGAAAGUAUACAUCCCAUGACACAAAACAGAAAAACCAACAGAAGGUGCUGAGAGAGUUUUACCUUAAUAUGCCUUGAUGUAACAAGCAAUAUACUGAUAUAAAGUAGUUAUAAUAAUGUUCUUGAGCAUAAUAUACCUUGCCAACAAUGAGGUUUGUAGAAAAAUGCUAAACUAUAUUAUAAAACCAUCACUAUAGGUGUUUUUUCCAGCAGGUGUAAGCUAAGAAUGCUGAGAAUUAACCAUUAAAAGUCCUCUUAAACUUAAAAGUGUUCUGUCCUUCCCCUGGAGUGUCAAUUUCCUGCAGAGGUGGUGACACCCCUGCUUUAAAUUCUGUAGUGCAUGUAGUUCACACUGUAUGUAGUUACCAUAAUUGCACGAUGCUUUGUCUGAAAUCGGCAACGAUGCUAUCUGUUUCAACAUGGAGAAUGUCGAAUCUCUCCCUCUCAUAUAGGCCAGGCCUCAUAAACAAAGGUAACUUCCUUACCUGGGGAAAGAGAGAAUCAACUCACAGAUAUUGCAACAGAUCUUGGAGAGAUUAGGAAGAGUUGAAGUAGAUCUGUUCACAUCAUAAGAAAUCAUGCAGUGUUGUUUUUCUCACUGAGGGAACAUGAUGUGCCACUAGCCACUGACACGUCUGAUCUGCUUGUUCUCUCAGUCUCUGUGUCCAAGUAUAUGUGGCAGCUACUGUAUCUGUAUGCCAUGUGGACUUUGAAAUUGAUUUGGUCCUAUAGUCCACCAUGCCUCAUAGAAAAUCAUACAACACAAUCUUCAGUGAAGUCACUCCCACAGCAAAUCACCAAUGAAUGCUGGAAGCAUUCCCAUCAAGAGGCCACUGUGGUUCAAGCCAGCAGGAAUCAAGUGUGGUGUAAUAACAAUUUCCGCAUGACGCUGUGGUAAAGAUGGAUUUUGCUGUAGAGAGUGAAGACGUCAGUGAUGCUGAAUGAUGAAGAGGCUGAAGAACAAAGAGAACUGAUGGAUUUGAACAAGGAAUGUCAAGCACAGAAUAAAAAGGAGGAGAAUCAGGAAACUCCCAAUUCUGUAACUGGAUAAAACUCUUUUAGUGGUUCACAAACUUCAGAGAGUUUUUCACUUGAAAGCACAGAAGCCAAAAAUUAUUUUGCAUGCCACCAUUGUGGAAAGACUUUUCCCCAAAAAGGACACCUGAAGUAUCACAUAAGAAUUCAUACUGGUGAAAGGCCUUCGUGCCCUCAGUGUGGAAAGACUUUUACUCAAAAAGGCCACCUUAGGGAUCAUAUAAUAACUCACACUGGUGAGAGGCCAUUCACAUGCCCUCAGUGUGGAAAGGGUUUCAUGAGUAAAGGAAACCUUAAUGUUCACAUUAAAAUUCACGCUAGAGAGAGGCCUUUCACUUGUCCGCAUGUGUGGAAAGACUUACACAUGUAAAGGACACUUUAAGGAACACAUAUAAACUCACACUGGUGAGAGGCCUUUCACUUGCCCACAAUGUGAAAAGAGUUUCACACAGAAAGCUAUCUUAAUAUUCACAUGAAAACUCACACUAGAGAGAGGCCUUACACGUGCCCUCAGUGUGGGAAGAGUUACAUAUCUAAAGGACACCUUAAAGAACACAUAGGAAUUCACACUGGUGAAAGGCCUUUCGCAUGUCCUCGAUGUGGAAAGUGCUUUACACGUAAAGGAGGUAUUAAUAUUCACAUAAAAGGUCACACUAGAGAGAGUCCUUACACAUGCUCUCAGUGUGGAAAGAGUUUCCCAACUAAAGGACAUCUUGAUAGUCAUAUCAUAAUUCACACUGGAGAGAAGCCGUUCACAUGUCCUCAAUGUGGGAAGAGCUUCACACAACGAGGACAUUUGAAGCAUCACAUAAGAAUUCACACAGAUGAGAGGCCUUUCUCAUGCCAUUUGUGAGGUAAAGGUUGCACUCAGUUGCAAAGUCUUAAAUUUCACCUGCUGUUCAUUUUAGAGAAAAGCCAUUUGGCUGUGGACAUACGUGGUCAAAAAUUUGUUUUGAAGUCAUUGCUGAGAAGAUACGCGAGGAUGCAUUCAAACGAGCAGCCUUAUUUGUGCUCUGUUUGUGGGAAGAGUUUUCUAUUUCUUGACUAUUUUACACAGCACCAGAAAAUACAUAGUGGUGUGACGUCUCUUGUUUGCUCUGAAUGUGGAAAUUCCUACAUGAGAGCCAGAGACUCGGAGCUACACAAAAGAAUCCAUACUGGAGAAAAACCUUUGAAGUGCUUUCAUUGUGGAAAGGGUUUCACUGAGUCUAGAAACCUGGUAAAACAUGAAAGAGUGCACACUGGAGAGAAGCCGUACCACUGCCUUUCAUGCCUAUUAGCUCAUGCAGAAAAGCAAUGUCCACAAGUGAACACAGUGUCCAACCUUCAGGCUUCAGUUCCAAACACAUUGUGUGAAAUUCAAAUGAACCCGAUGAUAGAAUCUGCCCAACAAUAGUAGGAAUAAGGCCUGUUCACACAAAGACAGUUCAGUGUGAUAAACAUUUUAAUUUGAAUGCACUUAAUGUGUCUGUUUAGACCGACAUGAACAUAAGCAUGCAUAAUAUUGGUGCCACUUUCAAAAAGACUAUUUUGCUAAAUGGUAGUAAAUAGCAGAGAAAUAAUCCAGAACUAGCUUUCUUGUCUCUGUACACUUGUUUUGGUUUUGUUUGAUAAAACUAUAGUGAAUACAAAACUGAAAUACUGUUUCAAAAGUACUUUCUUCUUUCAAAAUUUCUGCUUCUCUGAAAGACUAAUGUCAGUGAAUUAGCAUUUUGAAAAGUUGAUGUGUCAUGCCAAAUAUUAAUUUCUUGUAGUUAGCGUAUGUGAGACUGAUUUGGAGAAUGAUAACUUCAAGGUAAUGACAUGCAGUACAUGAAGAAUUGAUUGUUAGUGCAGUGAAAGAUUUGUUACAUUGAUUCACAACAAAAUCUUGUGAGUUUACAAUUAUU